AGCGAACGCUGGCGGUAGGCCUAACACAUGCAAGUCGAACGGCAGCACAGUACUAGCUUGCUCUUACGGGUGGCGAGUGGCGGACGGAUGAGGAAUACAUCGGAAUCUACUUUUUCGUGGGGGUUCACGUAGGGAAACUUACGCCAAUACCGCAUACGCCCUACCGGUGAAAGCAGUGGAUCGUCGGACCUUGCGGGGUUGGACGAGCCGAUGUUGGAUUGGCUAGUUGGCGGGGUAAAGGCCCACCAAGGCGACGAUCCGUAGCUGGUCGGAGUGGAUGAUCAGCCACACUGGAGCUGAGACAGGGUCCAGACGCCUGCGAGAGGGAGCAGUGGGGAAUAUGGGGCAGUAGGCGGAAACCUGAUCCAGUCAUACCGCGUGGGUGGAGGAGACGUUCGGGUUGUAAAGCCGGUUUGUUGGGAGAGAAAAGCAGCAGGUUAUUACCCCGCUGUUGUGACGGUACCCAAUGAAUAAGCACCGGCUAACUUCGUG
rnacentral:rRNA from 1 species